UGGGGAAUCUUCCGCAAUGGACGAAAGUCUGACGGAGCAACGCCGCGUGUAUGAUGAAGGUCUUCGGAUUGUAAAGUACUGUCAUUGGGGAAGAACGGUUUUCUUGAAAAGAUUGAGAAGACAUGACGGUACCCAAGGAGGAAGCCCCGGCUAACUACGUGCCAGCAGCCGCGGUAAUACGUAGGGGGCAAGCGUUGUCCGGAAUUAUUGGGCGUAAAGGGCGCGUAGGCGGGCCUUUAAGUCCGGUGUGAAAGAUCAGGGCUCAACCCUGAGAGUGCAUCGGAAACUGGAGGCCUUGAGGACAGGAGAGGAAAGUGGAAUUCCACGUGUAGCGGUGAAAUGCGUAGAUAUGUGGAGGAACACCAGUGGCGAAGGCGACUUUCUGGACUGUAACUGACGCUGAGGCGCGAAAGCGUGGGGAGCAAACAGGAUUAGAUACCCUGGUAGUCCACGCCGUAAACGAUGAGUGCUAGGUGUAGAGGGUAUCGACCCCUUCUGUGCCGCAGUUAAACACAAUAAGCACUCCGCCUGGGGAGUACGGCCGCAAGGUUGAAACUUAAAUG
rnacentral:rRNA from 1 species